GCAUCUAAGCGUGAAACCCGCCCCAAGAUUAGGUUUCCCUUCCCCGCAAGGGGACUAAAGGCCCCCGGAAGACUACCGGGUUGAUAGGUCAGAGGUGUAAGUCCAGUAAUGGAUUCAGCUAACUGAUACUAAUCGGCCGUGAGGCUUGGCCUU
rnacentral:ncRNA from 1 species